rnacentral:tRNA from 1 species
AAUGGGAUGGCCGAUUUAGGUGAUAAAUUGUAAAUUUAUUUAAGGAUUUACUUCCUCUCAUUA